CAUGCAAGUCGAACGGAGUUACUUUGGUGAAGUUUUCGGAUGGAUCUGAUUUAACUUAGUGGCGGACGGGUGAGUAAUGCGUGAGCAACCUGCCCUUCAGAGGGGGACAACAGUUGGAAACGACUGCUAAUACCGCAUAAUGUAUUCGGAAGGCAUCUUCUGGAUACCAAAGGAGAAAUCCGCUGAUGGAUGGGCUCACGUCUGAUUAGCUAGUUGGUGAGGUAACGGCUCACCAAGGCUGCGAUCAGUAGCCGGACUGAGAGGUUGAACGGCCACAUUGGGACUGAGAUACGGCCCAGACUCCUACGGGAGGCAGCAGUGGGGAAUAUUGGGCAAUGGGCGAAAGCCUGACCCAGCAACGCCGCGUGAAGGAAGAAGGCCUUCGGGUUGUAAACUUCUUUUAAGAGGGACGAAGAAGUGACGGUACCUCUUGAAUAAGCCACGGCUAACUACGUGCCAGCAGCCGCGGUAAUACGUAGGUGGCGAGCGUUAUCCGGAUUUACUGGGUGUAAAGGGCGCGU
rnacentral:rRNA from 1 species